AGAGAGUUGCUUGUGUGAAUCCCGCGGUCCAGUGUGUUCCAUCCAGUCCGCCUGGGUGACGGACUGCGUGUGGGGGGGAAUGGCAGCCCGUCCGUCUCCGCUUCCGCCGGAGGAUCCCGUUGCUACUGAUCUCCUAUUUAUAAUUAGUUUAGUGCUCAUUUAAAAUGAUAACACAGCCGAUUAAAAGGUUUGUUGCAGCAGAGAGAUUCGACCCUGGAGGAGGAGGAAGAGGAAGAGGAGCUGUCUCCUGAAGAACAAGAUGAACACCGACUCGUCCGUGACAAGUGCUACCUUUUAUUUAUCGAGGUCCAGAGGAAUAUUGUGAUAAUAUAUCCUGACAUCAUGAUAUGAGCAGGUAAAAGCAGGGGAGCAGUUUGGAAACUGCAAAUCCAUUGGCAGAUCCAGCGCUGACGACCUCCUGUGGUCACCUAUGGAGCCCAAAGUGUUCCAAACUAAACCAGAAGGACCCAAAGACGAGCCAGAAGAGCAGAGAGACGAGGGAGAAGAGGCUUGGGACGAGGCAUGGGACAAGGCGAUGGACGCAAGAGGAGAUCAGUUUUGACUAGUUGCAUGUCUGGAUAAAUUAUUUUUUCCAGUCCAGUUGGUUGUUCAGUGUGUGGAAAGAGUCUGUGACUCGAGUUCAAUCCAGGAACACGUCAGGUGAACCGGACUCAUCAGAUCCCGUCCUGACAUGGACGCUGUUGUCACAGCAACUCGCUCCAUCUCUCUCCUUCCUGUCUGUCUGUAGUUGUUGAAUUCACUGGCUGCUUCCCUCAUCGCGUUCCUCCCCCUCCUCCUCAUCAAACUCCACCAGAGGAGCGUAGCGAUUGGCCUGAGAACCUUGGAUGAAGCAAACCUACUUGAUCACGCCAGACUUCGGCGCCCGGAUCGUGUGCUGCAGACAAACACAGAAGAAAGAAGAUAUCAACUUUAACAGAAUCUCAGCAGAGUGAGUUUUAAACUGGAUUAAAGUGAGCUCCUGUGAAGAGGAGGAGGAAUCAGCAGGAGCCUCUCACCUCCAUCUUCAUGGCGUUCAUCACCAUCAGCGCGUCUCCCACCGCCACUUUGUCUCCAACCUUCACCUGCAUUUCAGUACAGUUACUUUUAAUGUGAGUAACUGCAAAGUGCCAAUUCUAUGUACAACAUGUCACUGCCCUUUGCAGCCAGAAGAGCAGAGAGGCGAGGGACGCAGAGGACAUCAGUUUUGACCCGUUUAAUUUAUCCAGACACUGUCUGGAUGUGAGAAACUGCAAAGUGCUAAAUCUAUGUACAACUUGUCACUGCCCCUGCAGCCAGAAGAGCAAGAAGAGGCUUGGGAAGAGGCGAUGGAUGCAGGAUGACAUCAGUUUUGACCCAUUGCAUGUCUGGAUAAAUAAUUUUUUCCAUUUC